rnacentral:rRNA from 1 species
UACGAAGGGGGCUAGCGUUGUUCGGAUUUACUGGGCGUAAAGCGCACGUAGGCGGUUCGAUAAGUCGGACGUGAAAUCUCCACGCUCAACGUGGAGGGGCCGUUCGAUACUGUCGUGACUCGAGUCCGGUAGGGGAGUGUGGAAUUCCCGGUGUAGCGGUGAAAUGCGCAGAGAUCGGGAGGAACACCCGUAGCGAAGGCGGCACUCUGGGCCGGUACUGGACGCUGAGGAGCGAAAGCGUGGGGAGCAAACAGG